AGAGGGUGCAAGCGUUAAUCGGAAUAACUGGGCGUAAAGGGCAUGUAGGCGGUUUAGACAGUCGGGUGUGAAAGCUCUGGGCUUAACCUGGAGAUGUCAUUCGAUACGUCUAGACUAGAGUGCAGUAGAGGGUAGUGGAAUUUCCGGUGUAGCGGUGAAAUGCGUAGAUAUCGGAAGGAACACCAGUGGCGAAGGCGACUACCUGGACUGCUACUGACGCUCAGGUGCGAAAGCGUGGGGGGAGCGAACAGGAUUAGAUACCCUGGUAGUCCACGCCGUAAACGAUGAGAACUAGCCGUUCGACGACCUUGAGUUGUUGGGUGGCGCAGCUAACGCGCUAAGUUCUCCGCCUGGGAGUACGGCCGCAAGGUUA
rnacentral:rRNA from 1 species